GUGGUUUAAUUCGAUGCAACGCGAAGAACCUUACCUGGUCUUGACAUCCCGGAGACCCUUAGGAAACUAGGGGUGCUUCCAUCUGGAAGAAUCUGGAGACAGGUGCUGCAUGGCUGUCGUCAGCUCGUGUCGUGAGAUGUUGGGUUAAGUCCCGCAACGAGCGCAACCCUUGCCUUUAGUUGCCAGCAGUUCGGCUGGGCACUCUAAAGGGACUGCCGGUGUUAAACCGGAGGAAGGUGGGGAUGACGUCAAGUCCUCAUGGCCUUUAUGACCAGGGCUACACACGUACUACAAUGGCCGAUACAAAGGGCAGCGACACUGCGAGGUGAAGCCAAUCCCGUAAAAUCGGUCUCAGUCCGGAUUGGAGUCUGCAACUCGACUGCGUGAAGUCGGAAUCGCUAGUAAUCGUGAAUCAGAAUGUCACGGUGAAUACGUUCCCGGGCCUU
rnacentral:rRNA from 1 species